GCAACUUGACUCUGAGAGCCUGCUGUCUCCACUGAAUUUGAUUAUGUGCUAUCAGGAGAAUCCAUCUACUCCCUGCAGCUGUCGAGCUCCUCUCCUUGACAUCCUGAACUCAAAUGGCAGGGAAAAAAAAACACUACCAUCUAUUCUGACCUCUGAAGUCACCAUGCCCAUUAACUGAGGAUGAAGAAGACAGAAGGAAUAUUGAAUGUCUGAAGAGAGAGAAAACGUUAUAAAAUUAUCCUUUCAAAAGAUGGAAGAAUAAAUUCACUUGGCAAAUGUAAUAUGGACUCACCUGAGGUUUGAAGUCAUCUAAAAAGAAACCAAAAAUCAUGGUUUUGAGAUUUUGUCCAAAUUCCUUCAUUAUCUCAGCACUGCACUAGGAUACUAAUGAGUUUUCGGGAAUAGAAAACCCAAUGGAAUAUUAAAAUUGGAAAGAAGAGCUCGUUGAGUUAAUUUCACUGAAGUGCAUCACAACACACAGCACUGUUGUAAGAAUGAAUAUUCAAAUAGGAAUUCAGUCAUGGGAAAAUUAAUUAAGGAAAAUGUUAUUGCUAAUAUUUCUUUUUAUGAAUAUACAUAUGCAGAGACACACAACCAUCUAUUGGCUCCACACUGACAAUAAUAAAAGCUAAACAUUUAUGAGAGUCAAAUGUUCAAGAUCUUUUGCUGAGAUGGUGUUAAAAGAUUUUAAAUAAAAAAAAUUAUGAUUCCAGA
rnacentral:antisense_RNA from 1 species